rnacentral:miRNA from 1 species
CGGCUGAUGAAACUUACAAAGU